rnacentral:rRNA from 1 species
AUGCCCUACGAUGGGACUGCGACGACCUUGUUCCCAUCAGCGCCGCCGCCAUCCCAGGGCGUCCACAUCCAGCAGAUCAAGUCCCCGCCGUCACCGUCACCGCUUCCGUCUUGGAUCGCUACGCGCCACGUGUCGGCGGCGGUGAGGCUGCAGGCUGCUGCGCGCGGCCUCCUAGCGCGUCGGCGUGUGUGGGAGAUGCGUGGUCUGCAGCUGCUGCUCCUUCAAGUUGCCCUUCGCUGCGCAAAGGACCUCGAUCUCGUCCGUUGCGUCGGUAAUCUUGGGCAUGCGGUUUCCCCCACGGGCGGCGGGCAUGCUGUUUUCCCCGCGGGCAGCAACCUCAAAGUCUGCGACAUCGGCUGUUGGGGGGGCGCACCCCUCCUCGUCAUUCUCCAUCGCAAGCCCUCCACUCUUCCCUGUGCGGUGCAGACCAACAGCCGUCCAGCAGGGAGAAGGCAUGGUGUCACCGACAACAGCGCACCGCGUAGCACCACUGCCUUCCGCCACCGGCCGCCGCGAGGGCGCCUCUGCUGGUCACUCUUGCGACCACUUCCAGGUGGUAAUACACAUGUAGUCCUUUUGUCCAGGUGGUGUCCAUGGGAUCCAGGUGGCUGUACACGUGCACGUCCGACGUGCGGAUGA